rnacentral:rRNA from 1 species
AGGAAUUUUCCGCAAUGGGCGCAAGCCUGAUCCAGCCAUGCCGCGUGAGUGAUGACGGCCUUAGGGUUGUAAAGCUCUUUCGCACGCGACGAUAAUGACGGUAGCGUGAGAAGAAGCCCCGGCUAACUUCGUGCCAGCAGCCGCGGUAAUACGAAGGGGGCUAGCGUUGUUCGGAAUCACUGGGCGUAAAGGGUGCGUAGGCGGAUUCUUAAGUCAGGGGUGAAAUCCCGAGACUCAACCUUGGAACUGCCUUUGAUACUGGGGAUCUUGAGUCCGGAAGAGGUGAGCGGAACUGCGAGUGUAGAGGUGAAAUUCGUAGAUAUUCGCAAGAACACCGGUGGCGAGGGCGGCUCACUGGUCCGGAACUGACGCUGAGGCACGACAGCGUGGGGAGCAAA